UUAUGUUAGUAUUUUUCACUCUCCUUUUGUAUUUUCUUUUCAUUCUUUCUGCUUUCCCCUUUCUUAUUCCAGAAAGGGGAAAGCAGAGAGAGUAAGGGAUAGAGAAGGGACCGCUGAUCGGAAGGGAAAUCGAACCCUCAGCUGCAAAGGGGAGCUCAUCAACGGGUUGAUAAACGGGUCAGCCGCCAACCAACUAUGUUACACAUCUCGCCGAACAUCUCUAUUUGAAUCUGCAUGCAGGGUAGAGUCAUAUAUUAUAUGGUGUUCACCUGACAUUAACACCAUCAAGGCCUUUGUGUAAUUGUGUGAGAAAAAAGUUUAUUAAAAAGCUAUUCAAGAGCAUACCAACUGUCAGGCACAAGGACAUCAGAAUGGAGUUAUGUAUUCCUGAGCAUAUUAAUGGCAAGGAGGUCUCAUGGGACAUAAUAUAUUUUGAGCAGUUUACACCUACGCCAAACCAGUCCUCUAAUUUUGUGAGUCCCAAGAGCAUAAGUCCUUCACCGUUCCUGGCUGUGCAAUAUGCAAAUUGUUGGUUUAAUGUGUGUUUGCUUCAGCUGCAACCACACACUUGUACAUGGAAAUGAACUAGAAAAAGAAAUUCCAUUGUUCUCAUUGAAUUGGAGCUCAGGGGUAUGACAUUCAUUACAUUUGCAACAUUACCAGCUUUACUUUCAAAAACCUAAACAAAAAUGACUAUUUGGCAUUUGCUUAUUAAAUCAGGAACACGCAUACAGUAUUUUUCAUCAUCAGCCACCAGAUCCUCACAUAUGCCAUAAUAAAACUUAGGAAAUCAUUUACAUAUUUAAAUUGUUUCAGUUUUGAGUAAUUAAAUCAAUUUGUUCAACUCUAACAGUGUUAAUUCUCUGAAAUGUGGGACCAAAUGCCAUCUGUUAAGAGUUGAAUUAACACUCUUAGCACUGAAUUAACACUGGGCAUUUUACUGUGUACCUUAAAAGAAUUGCUGCAUUAAGGUAUUUUCAUACAAUAUAUUUUUCAUUGACUACUUGUUGUACUGCACUUCAGAGGUAAAUAUGCUUAGCUUUUUGAUUAUGAAUACUGUAGUGGUGUUCACAGUCAUUUAUUACAUUUGUUAGCUUUUUGGCACUGCGGGAAUAACUAAUUUACAUAUUUUAAAUGGCUUUUCAUUAAAAUAAAUAGUAUUUUGCUGCUACAUAGGUUUGUGACUGCAAGAGUGUUUGUGGGAGUCUCAAGGCCUCAAAGAACACAAGGUUUGUGAAUAUUUCUUGUUAUAUAGAGAUGCUUCUCAGCAUUUUCACACAUUCCCAUUCAAAAGUCCCAUGAUGUGAUGUCAUGGAAAUUGCUUUUCAACGGUAACUUUACAGUCUAGUCUGAACUGUCUGCUAUCUUCUAAGCUCAGGGCAUGCUUUACUUUUGUGUAUUGACAAUGUCCAGUUUGUUUUCAAGCCUAAACCCAUAUGCUUCAAUAUUUGUUUUCCACCCAAUGAAACGAAAGAGCAGGACUGUUAUUUAUUCUCUCCCUGAAGCGAUGCCCUUUUAGAUGUGGAGGUAGGAAUCUGAUUCAGAGUAACCUGAAACCAUCUUACUUAUGGCAAUUCAAUACUGUGAAGAGUGUGUGAACGUAACUUUAUUUUUAGGUCCUCUGUUAUUUAUCUGAGUAAUUCACAGCAUUCCUGUUAAUUAUGUAAAUAUGUAAAUUGAUUUUUACUGUUAAUUAAAUACUGUAAUGUGGGAAGUGCACACACCCUAUUCCUUAAUGUCAUUAAUGACAGCAUAACUGUCCAUACAUGCACCACACACGCACACAUACACGCACACACACACACGCAUACACACACACACACACACACACACAACUAGUAACUAUUGCUCAUAUGCACAAGGGGUUGUCUUCUUUAACAUUAUAAGGACCUGUUCAGUAACUAAGUAUUUAUUCUUGGUCUGUAAUCUUGUGCACUAUAGUUAUAUCAUCAAUAGAGCUGUAAUUAUAGCAAUCAGCAGCUACAUCAUGUACCCUGCUCCUGCUGAAUGGCUGAGGCUAAGCAGCUGUGAGCCCACCUAAGACACAUUGCUGUUGGAGGUAGAGUUGUUGGUCCAGUUGCAGGUGUUCUUCCUUCUAGACUAAGAAACUUCAAUCCACCCACUGCAGUGACGGGAAAACUGUGUUGUAGGAGGUGCCCUCUUUCAGAUGAGACAUUAAACUGAGGCCCUGACUAGUCUUUGAAGAUGUGUGGUGAAUGUUUUGGUCCAAAAUGGCUGCUGUGGUGAUGAUGUACAUUGGUAGAGGUGAAGUUGAGGCAACUGAAAACAGUGGGGACUGAAAAAAUGUCAAGCGUUUUGUGAGCACACAUGGGAGGCAUAUCUCCAGAUGUAGCCUGGGGCUGCAGAGGCUGGAAAUGCUCAGGUGUAACCGUAAAGAAUUAGCAUGCCGCGAUCGUCCCAAGCUGUGACAUCCCCUUGCAAAUGAAUCCUUCUGGAACGCACCUGGCCGUGCCGAGGAACGCUGACUGAUUAACGGCACCUUGGAAUCGCAAAGUUAGACUCGCAUCACUUUUGAUAAACAGGCAUUAACCCAAAGUUUAGGGUUGGGUGAUGUAAUUGGCAUAAACGAUCUUCGCCUGAGAUGCAAAGUAAUUUCCAGCUGGGCCUGUGCUUCCUAUUUUUUCAUUUCGUCUCCAUCCUAGAUAAACUGAGGAGUCGUUUAGGAGGAAUUGAAAGUGUUCCUGUGGAUAACAAAGACAUUUUGUGCUCGGUGAUGCAUGUAGUGAGCUCUCCAGACUACUGCAGAAAAUCUUUCACCGUAAGUUCUGCCAUCCCCCUCCCCCCCCCCCCCCCCGUGCAUUUUCCAUUUUUGAUCGCUGCAGUGUUAUGCAGUGAGAGUCCCAAGAUAUCUCAUGCCAUCUUUUGAAGAGAAGGUAUGUGUAAACUGGCAAUAAUAAGGACUGUUUGUCACCUAUAGGGACUUCUACCUUUUCCCUAGCAACAAGUAACUAACGCAAACAGAUAUUUGCAAUUCAGGCGGAAAAGUUAGUAUUACUGGGUUGUUUUCUAUCCUUUGAUAAAAGUUACAUUGACUCUGAAAACUGAAAUUUUACAUUUUCAAAUACUUAGACUGUUUACAGUCAACUGUGUCACUCACUGCCUUUAGAUACACCCUGAAGGCAAUAUUCACCCAAAUUAAUAUGGUGGUGAAAGUUCAGGAAUUCAGCUACUGAUUUCUGCUAAUUGGUUAUGCUGGUCCUGUGCUGCUUUUUAAAGGCAGUCAUUUGCCAUAGGGGCUACUGUACUAACGGUGUUUGUUUAUAGUGUUCUGCCUUGCUCAUUUCAGAUUGCUUUUGAUUUUUUUGAGUUCUACUGCAGAGAGCUGUCAGUUAAAUAAACAGCGAAGUGAAAAUAUUGUUACCAGGAUAAUCAUUUCAGUUGUAGUGGUGCAAAUAAGAGUGAUGUAAGUGUGAUAUGGCUCCAUUUUCAGAUUCUUACUGAAUUCAAUUAAAUACCAGAUCAUCAAUUAUAUACAUUCUUGACAUUCAUGUCUGAUUGUAGACUUUUAUGUUGUUAUUGUAAUGGGAAUACAUUAUUUCUGGACACUACACACAAGAAUCACGUCAACAUUUGAACAUCCUACAACUUCAAAUGUUCUGCCACUGAUCAGCAAAUGUUGGCUUGGCACAUUAUCUUUUUGCAAGAACGAAACAUGAU